rnacentral:lncRNA from 1 species
UCUAACAGAUUUUGGAAAAUAAAGAACACAGUCUGGAGAAGACAUGACAAACAUCCACAAUAAAUCUUCACAAUAUAGCACUUCACACAAAAAAUACCAUUUUUUACUCCAAGCAUGCAAAGUCUCCACAUCUGACACAAUAAGGUUACUCUUAUAUGAAAACUGAAUACAAAGUGUUGAAAACAAAAUUAGUAUUGCAGCAAAUUCACUAAAUUAUUAAGCAGAUUUUUUAAACGGAUGCACUAAAAGUUGUAUAAAAUAGCUGCCACAUUUUUAAACAAAUUUUUGACUUUCAAUUUUCAUGUUUACAUAAGAAUCUACAUAUACCAAAAUACAUUUUACAAAAUUGACAUAAAUAACCCAGUUGAAUCUGACAUCUUAAAAAUAUAACAUCACUGUUUAUAAAGAAGCUUUGGUAUUUCAGAUUGUCACUGGUUGAAAAUUUUUCAAGUUGCAGUAUGAAUUCACUUUCCCAAACUGGGCUUCUGGUGAAAAACCUUUAAAAGACCACUGAAGCAUCAAUACUAGAUGGAAGCCUGCUUUACUGUAUGUAGAUAUGGCAAGACAUCUAUAUUCUAUACCAAAAACACUCAUCAUAGAUAACAGGAUUAAAAUUUUAAAUAUUUGCCAGACACGCGUUUCAUCUACAAAAGACUCAUCAGUGACGCUCGAAUCAAAAAUAUCAAGUUACAAUUGUUAAUUUCAAUUCUGUAAAAUUUAAAUUGUGCCAAAAAUAAUCUUUCUACAUAAAUAUAGUAAAUAUAUUUCAAGAGCAAGGAAGUACUAGCAUAUACAUAUAUCACAGAUCAGCCAAUAAAUUAAGGAUUAUUAAAAAUAUACAUGUAUGAGUAUAUCUGGCUCUAAAUUAUUUGUUAAUAAUAAUAAAACCUUGGAUUUUUAUCAUGGUAAUAUAGGGGAUUGUAUUAUUAUUACUACACACAAAACAUGCUCACACUUUCAUGAAAAUAGUGUCACAACAUGAAAGCCCCCCGUCUCCACCUACUAUGGAAGAUACAAUGU